rnacentral:tRNA from 1 species
GGUGGCUCAGUUGGUAGAGUGCUUGCCUUGCAUGCAUGAGGCCCUGGGUUCGAUUCCUCAGUACCA